rnacentral:lncRNA from 1 species
AGGGGAGGGGAGGGGAGGGGAAACGGAGAUUUCGUGAUCUUAGAUAAUAAUAAUCGAGGAUCGAUCGAUUUUCGAAACGAAAUUGAACGAUCAUCGUGGAUUAGAAUUGGGAUCGCUAGACGUUCAUGGCGAUUGUCGAAUCAUUUUGUAAAUGAAAGUAUUUCUGGGGGAGAGAGUGUUUCUCUCUCUCUCUCUCUCUCUCUCUCUCUCUCUCUCUAUCUCUCUCUCUAUCUCUCUCCCUCUCUCAGUAUGUAUUCCAAAAGCAAAAGAACAAAAAAAAAUAUAUAUAUAUAUAUCUGAUACUACGAGAAGAAGAACGAAAAAGAGAAUAUAUUUGUAGUAUAAGGAAAAGAGAAAGAUUAAUUGCGCGAUUGAGCAGGUAGGGAAACGGGCGAGGACACGUAACGUGAAGAGGGGAGCAAUUACGUAUUGUAAUUAUAGAGGAUUUAACUAAAAUAAUUAAAAUUCAGUAAAUAAGUCGACGUUUAAUAAUUAAAGUAGAUAAUCGAUAGAUCGAGGAUCGCAGCAUCUUAAUUGGCUAGCUGCGAGUCCCGUGGACAGUUUUCGAAUGAUCUCCGGUAGCUUAGCUCUUAGUGGCGCCCUCCUCGAGGACGCCUUUCAUGACGCUGAGGGACGGGGGGUGUUUCCCACCCUUUGCUCCUGCGCGUCACCUUUUUCUUUCUCACUCUUCAAUUUUAUCUUUUUAUCUUUCUCGCAUUUUCUUCUUCUUCUUCCUCCUUUUUCUCUUCUCUUUGCGCGCUUAUCUAUUCUCUCUUGUUGUGAUAAUUAUGCUUUUUCCUUCUCUUUUAUGAUCCACAUUUGCGAUAUUGUGUCAUUUUUAUUUUAAAAAAUUUCUCUCAAUUCUCUUUCGCGUAUCUUUUAAUCUCUUCUUCACUUCUUCUUCUUCUUCUUUUUCUAUUCUAUUCUAUUCUAUCACUCUCUUCUCUAUCGUUAAUAUAUCAUUUUGUUAUUCGUCGAUUCUCGCGAUUAUGUAUUCUUUAAAUGAUAAUUAUUAUUUUUUUUUUUUGAUCUCGUUAAUUAGCAUUAUAUAUUUUAGGUCUUCGUUGUUUCGUACUCGCGAUUCUAUAGGCCAUGCCCCGCCAUAUAUUGGCGCGAAUGCUCGUAGAAGUUCGAAGUGGAAUUAAUAAUUAAAGGAUAGUUAGUAUCCCUGAUCGAGCCUCGAGUGUGUUCCCUCGAGUGGAUCUCGAACGGGAUGAAACCAAAAUCAUCAUAAGGCUGUCGAUACGAUAGUGUUUUCCCGUGGACCGUUCUAUCUGUCUCUCUAUCUGUCUCUAUCUCCCGAGUAAAGACUUCUUCCUUUUUUUUUUUUUUUUAAUUAUUAAUAUUUUUUAUUACGAUUAUUAUUAUUAUUAUUAUUAUUAUAAUUAUUAUAAUAUUAUUAUUAUAUUAUUAUUAUUAAUAUUAUUAUUAUUUUUUAUAAUUUGUUUGUUUGCCCUUUUCUCUUCCAUCUUAAAAAUUAACAGAUAAGAUUUCGUGACGUACUCCGUCGAAGUAUUCCAGUGUGUAGAAAAACUAGUAGUAUUUAUUUAUAGGUAAACGUGUAUUCAUAUAUGUCUAAAUAGGAUCGAGCGAGAUGAUUCGCGAGAUUAAUUAAAUACUGCCAUUCGUCCUAAAGCUGAGAACGCGCGUGAAAGGUGUUGUUGUGUGUCGUCCUGAAUUGUAGAUAAGGGAAGAAAAAAGAAAAAGAAAAAAAUACUCGAGGACGUUCAUCAGGACCCUGCCUGAAUGGAACGUCUCUUCGAGGAGGCGUACAUACGUUAUUUUUCCUCUGUCGAGAAAAGUCGAUACGCCCUUUAAAGUGAAAGUGUGCGUAGAUAGAUGAUGCGUGAUGAUGAUGAUGAUGAUGAUGAUGAUGAUAAUGAUGAUGAUUAUGAUGCUGAUGAUGACGAUAAUGACGAUGAUGACGAUGAUAACGAUGAUAAUGAUGAUUGUUCGAUUAUAGUUUCUCCGAAGGAGGAGUUCAGGAUCGGUGAUACAAGGUGAAAGGGAGGGUAACACCCUCGUUUCCUCCUCAUCCGGUUGCACCGAUCCGAAUCGUUCCACGGACGAAUUGUCUAGAGUCUCUUGAUGUUCGUAAAAA